CCCCCCGUAGCUCAGUGGCAGAGCGCCCGGCUGUAGUGGGGCGGGCGGAAACCGGGUGGUCAGGGGUUCGAAUCCCCUCGGGGGGA
rnacentral:tRNA from 1 species